UACAGAGGGUGCAAGCGUUAAUCGGAAUUACUGGGCGUAAAGCGCGCGUAGGUGGUUUGUUAAGUUGGAUGUGAAAGCCCCGGGCUCAACCUGGGAACUGCAUCCAAAACUGGCAAGCUAGAGUACGGUAGAGGGUGGUGGAAUUUCCUGUGUAGCGGUGAAAUGCGUAGAUAUAGGAAGGAACACCAGUGGCGAAGGCGACCACCUGGACUGAUACUGACACUGAGGUGCGAAAGCUAGGGGAGCGAACGGG
rnacentral:rRNA from 1 species